rnacentral:rRNA from 1 species
AUUGAACGCUGGCGGCAGGCUUAACACAUGCAAGUCGAGCGGGGGAAGGUAGCUUGCUACCGGACCUAGCGGCGGACGGGUGAGUAAUGCUUAGGAAUCUGCCUAUUAGUGGGGGACAACAUCUCGAAAGGGAUGCUAAUACCGCAUACGUCCUACGGGAGAAAGCAGGGGAUCUUCGGAUCUUGCGCUCAUCGAUGAGCCUAAGUCGGAUUAGCUAGUUGGUGGGGUAAAGGCCUACCAAGGCGACGGUCUGUAGCGGGGUCGAGGGGAUGAUCCGCCACACUGGGACUGAGACACGGCCCAGAGUGCUACGGGAGGCAGAAGUGGGGAAUAUUGGAAAAUGGGGGGAACCCUGAGCCAGCCAUGCCGCGUGUGUGAAGAAGGCCUUAUGGUUGUAAAGCACUUUAAGCGAGGAGGAGGCUACUCUAGUUAAUACCUAGGGAUAGUGGACGUUACUCGCAGAAUAAGCACCGGCUAACUCUGUGCCAGCCGCCGCCGUAA